CCUACGGGUGGCAGCAGUGAGGAAUAUUGGUCAAUGGCCGCAGGGCUGAACCAGCCAAGUCGCGUGAGGGAUGACGGUCCUAUGGAUUGUAAACCUCUUUUGUCAGGGAGCAAAGGGCGCCACGUGUGGCGUUUUGCGAGUACCUGAAGAAAAAGCAUCGGCUAACUCCGUGCCAGCAGCCGCGGUAAUACGGAGGAUGCGAGCGUUAUCCGGAUUUAUUGGGUUUAAGGGGUGCGCAGGCGGAAUGUCAAGUCAGCGGUAAAAUUUCGGGGCUAAACCCCGUCGUGCCGUUGAUACUGGCAGUCUUGAGUACAGUUGAGGUAGGCGGAAUUCGUGGUGUAGCGGUGAAAUGCUUAGAUAGCACGAAGAACCCCGAUUGCGAAGGCAGCUUACUAAACUGUGACUGACAUUGAUGCUCGAAAGUGUGGGUAUCAAACAGGAUUAGAUACCCUAGUAGUC
rnacentral:rRNA from 1 species